GAUGAAGAACGCAGCGAAAUGCGAUAAGUAAUGUGAAUUGCAGAAUUCAGUGAAUCAUCGAAUCUUUGAACGCACAUUGCGCCCGCUAGUAUUCUGGCGGGCAUGCCUGUCCGAGCGUCAUUUCAACCCUCAAGCCCCCGGGCUUGGUGUUGGGGAUCGGCGAGCCUCCGCGCCCGCCGUCCCCUAAAUCUAGUGGCGGUCUCGCUGUAGCUUCCUCUGCGUAGUAGCACACCUCGCACUGGGAAACAGCGCGGCCACGCCGUUAAACCCCCAACUUCUGAACGUUUGACCUCAGAUCAGGUAGGAAUACCCGCUGAACUUAAGCAUAUCAAUAAGCGGAGGA
rnacentral:misc_RNA from 1 species